UACGAAGGGUGCGAGCGUUGUCCGGAUUUAUUGGGUUUAAAGGGUGCGUAGGCUGGAAGGACAGUCAGCGGUGAAAAGCAGUUGCUCAACAAUUGUCUUGCCGCAGAUACUUCCUUUCUUGGAUUGGGAGAAGGUUACCGGAACGGAUGGUGUAGCGGUGAAAUGCAUAGAUAUCAUCCAGAACGCCAAUUGCGAAGGCAGGUGACUGUACCUAUAUCGACGCUGAUGCACGAAAGCAUGGGUAGCGAACAGG
rnacentral:rRNA from 1 species